rnacentral:rRNA from 1 species
CGUACCGUCCAAACGUUAUUCGGAAUUACUGGGCUUAAAGGGUACGUAGGCGGCGCUGUUAGUCGGGUGUGAAAUCCCUCGGCUCAACCGAGGAAUUGCGCCCGAUACUGCAGUGCUUGAGGGAGACAGAGGUAAGCGGAACUGAUGGUGGAGCGGUGAAAUGCGUUGAUAUCAUCAGGAACACCAGUGGCGAAAGCGGCUUACUGGGUCUCUUCUGACGCUGAGGUACGAAAGCUAGGGGAGCGAAGGGGAUUAGAUACCCCCGUAGUCCUAGCUGUAAACGUUGAGCACUUGAUCGAGGGCCCCCCCAUAGGCUCUCGGUCGUAGCGAAAGUGUUAAGUGCUCCGCCUGGGGAGUAUGGUCGCAAGGCUG